rnacentral:rRNA from 1 species
AAGACCUUGCGCUUUUGGAGCGGCCGAUGCCUGAUUAGCUUGUUGGUAAGGUAAAAGCUUACCAAGGCUUCGAUCAGUAGCUGGUCUGAGAGGACGACCAGCCACACUGGGACUGAGACACGGCCCAGACUCCUACGGGAGGCAGCAGUGGGGAAUUUUGGACAAUGGGCGCAAGCCUGAUCCAGCCAUGCCGCGUGAGUGAAGAAGGCCUUCGGGUUGUAAAGCUCUUUCAGUCGGGAAGAAAAGGUUGCGACUAAUAAUCGCAAUUCAUGACGGUACCGGAAGAAGAAGCACCGGCUAACUACGUGCCAGCAGCCGCGGUAAUACGUAGGGUGCGAGCGUUAAUCGGAAUUACUGGGCGUAAAGGGUGCGCAGGCGGUUUUGUAAGUCAGAUGUGAAAUCCCCGGGCUUAACCUGGGAACU